GACCCAAAUCUCUUUACUCAAUCAAAUUAAGUCAAUUACUAAUUAAUUAUUUAUUAGUAGUAGAGUUCUAGUCUCAAUGGGACUCUCCUUCGGAGUUUCAGUUUCCGUAGGACUCCUCAUCAGAGUCACAAUCCAAUUAGACUCUUCAGCCAUCAGAUCUGAUCAAAUCUUUUAAUACGUGUGACCUCAUAGGUUCGAAUCUAAGUUGGUAGCAUAAAAAUAACUUUCUAUAUCAAUCAAUGUAACAAUCUAGUAAUGAUGACCCAA
rnacentral:lncRNA from 1 species